rnacentral:rRNA from 1 species
GGGCCCGCACAAGCAGUGGAGUAUGUGGUUUAAUUCGACGCAACGCGAAGAACCUUACCAAGGCUUGACAUCCUACUGACGAAGUAGAGAUACAUUAGGUGCCCUUCUAGGGAAAGUAGAGACAGGUGGUGCAUGGUUGUCGUCAGCUCGUGUCGUGAGAUGUUGGGUUAAGUCCCGCAACGAGCGCAACCCUUGCGGUUAGUUGCUACGAAAGAGCACUCUAAUCGGACUGCCGUUGACAAAACGGAGGAAGGUGGGGAUGACGUCAAAUCAUCAUGCCCUUUAUGUCUUGGGCUACACACGUACUACAAUGGCGAUUAACAAAGGGCAGCGAACCCGCGAGGGGGAGCAAAUCUCCAAAAAUCGCCUCAGUUCAGAUUGCAGGCUGCAACCCGCCUGCAUGAAGUCGGAAUUGCUAGUAAUCGUAGAUCAGCAUGCUACGGUGAAUACGUUCCCGGGCCUU